rnacentral:rRNA from 1 species
UACAGAGGUGGCAAGUGUUGUUCGGAUUUACUGGGCGUAAAGGGUCCGCAGGCGGCUUUGUGUGUCAGAUGUGAAAGCCCACGGCUUAACCGUGGAAUGGCAUUUGAAACUACAGGGCUAGAGUACAGGAGAGGAUAGGGGAAUUCAUGGUGUAGCGGUGAAAUGCGUAGAUAUCAUGAAGAACACCGGUGGCGAAAGCGCCUAUCUGGACUGAUACUGACGCUCAUGGACGAAAGCCAGGGGAGCAAAGAGGAUUAGAUACCCUCGUAGUCCUGGCCAUAAACGGUGCGCACUUGAUGUGGGAGGUUUACCCCCUUCCGUGUCGAAGCUAACGCGAUAAGUGCGCCGCCUGGGAAGUACGGCCGCAAGGUUAAA